UAACAUCCAACAAAGUACUACUACCACU
rnacentral:sRNA from 1 species